AUUAUGUUUUAAUUUAUUGUGAGCCUGUUUGUUUUUCUCCCUUCUUCCUCCUCUGUUCCCAGGGUGAGGCAGGUCAACCAGGACAAAAAGGAGAGAGAGGACUGACUGGGGCCAAAGGGGAUAUGGGAAUGCCAGGACCACCAGGAAGACCUGGCCCCCCAGGACCAACAGGCCCUGGACUCUCUACAUGGGAUGAUUCUGGAGUUGAAGGAAGCAAG
ensembl:lncRNA